rnacentral:lncRNA from 1 species
CUUGAUAUCAAUUUAUUUUAGAAGUGAGAUUGUUUAUAGGAGCACAAGAGAAAAACGAUUAAUAUCAAAAAAUUCAAGUGUACCUUGAUACGCAUAAAAACACUAUAGAAACCGCAAGUGUUUCAGAAAAGGAGGAAGGGCAUAAGAAAAGAAUGACCCCAAGAGGAAAACGACUAACUUUCUCAUAAUUUCAAGAAAGAAGAAAUAUGAAAGAGUUCAGGCGUCUGAAACCCUCUUUUUCGAGUCAGUUAGUGCUCCAACAUGUUUGAAGAUCAUGAUUUUAAUUAAACAAAAUCUUAUGCAUUAAUUAGGCUAUAUAGUGUAUGCCUAUGUGAAAUCUUUUUAUUUAUCGAUAAUCAUUUAUCUUUGGAAAAUUGAGUAAUCCAGCCACUUUGUAAUCGUUUUUUAGAAAUAAUAACCACAAUAAAAGUACUCUUGAAAAAUAAUCAUUCGGUCCCAUAUGACCCAUUCCAGACCCGUAUUUUAAAUGGAUAACCGGAUAUAGUGAUCACAACCCCGGUAAUGUGGCUCCUUUAUAAAUAACAUUUUGAACCUAGUUCAAACUCAUAUUCAUUCCACACAACAUUUUGGACACCAAACCAACUCAAACAAUAUCUUCUAGCAAUGGAGAUAUUCAUUUUUUUGUGAGUAUCUUCCCAUUACUUUUAUAAUGCGAAAUCUGCAAUAGAGUCCUUCCUCUUUUUUUUUCAAUUUAGCCCCUAAAACCGGUAAACACUUGCUAGAAAACCAUUGUUCCCGGCUAAUCCCCUUUUUCAGGGUUUUUCUGAAAAAAUACUCAUUUUUAUUUAUUAAAAAAACUCAAAAUUAAGAUAUCAUCUACAUCAUUGGGGUUUUUUUGUGAUUUCUUCAAUAAAUAUCAUAACUAAAUAUCAUUUUUAGCAUGUGUUUUUAUAAGUAUUAUAGCUCUUAUAACAUUCUUCGCAUUUAUUUAAGCAAGUUGACAUUUAAGUUAUGUUUUGUAGAACAACUUGAACUUAAUUUGGUCACUUAUAAAAAAAUUGAAACUCUCUUCAUUUCCACUCUUUACACCUAGGUCGCUAAUUUUUUUACACACAUGACCCAAAAAUUCAACAAUAAAGGUAUAGUAUGAUUUGAUUCAAGUAAAUGUAUGUGCUAUUAAUUGAGAAAAGACAUAUAUAUCCAAUUAGUUUGCAUGUACCCUUAACUAUUGUAGCUUCUAUAACGUUUUUUGUAACUAUUUAACCAUGUUGGGAUUUAAGUUAUUUGUUCUAAAACAACUUGAACUUAAGUUGAUCAAUUCUAAAAAAAGUAGAAACUCCUUCCAUUGCCAUUUUUACACCUAAGUCACUUCUUUUUUACACCCAAGACCUCAAUACCAUCUAUAUUAGUUUUGUUCAUUAAUUUAGCAGAUUUAAAAGAAUGCUAUAUGAGAAGGUUCUUUAAAAUGAUACUUGAUGCUAUUAAAAAAACUGAAAGUAGAAUGUUGUAAUUGGAAGAUUUUCAAAAUGUGAUGCGAUGAUGAGGAAAAAGUUUGAUGUUUCAAUGUUAUAACAAAAAGAAAAGUGAAAGUACAAUGCCAAAAUAAGGUUGUAUUUUGAAAAUGCAAUAUGCUACUAUUGAGAAAACGUAAAGUAGAAUUUGUUAUAUAUGGAAGAUUUUUUAAAGUAAAAUGCAUUUAUGAGAAAAAAAGUUUACUGUUUCAAUGGUUUUUUAAAAUGAUAUUUGCUUCUAAUAAGAUAAUUGAAAGUAGAAUAUGCUAUAAAAGGAAGAUUUUUCGAAGUAUAAUGCAAUGAUGAUAAGAAAAAGUUUGAUGCUUCAAAGUUAUAACAAAAGAAAAGUAAAAGUAUAAUGCAAAAAAUGGGAUGAUUUAUAAAAAAGAUAUGUAAAAUGCUAACAAUAGGAUGUAUUUUGAAUAUGAAAUGUGUUACUAAUAAGAAAAAUAAAAACAGAAUGAUAUCAUUAGAAGAUUUUUAAUAUUAAAACGGAUUCAUGAGAAAAAAAGAGUUUGAUGUUUCAAUGUUGUAACAUAAAGAAAAGUGACAGCAAAAUGCAAUAAAGAUAUUAUUUUUGAAAAUGCAAUGUGCUACUAAGUAUAAAACUAAAAUUAGAACCCUGAAAUUUGUAGAGUUUUCAAAGCAAAAUGCAUAGAUUAGAAAUAUAAAUGUUUAAUGUUGAAAGGAAAGAGAUAGUACAAUGAUAAAAAUGGGAUGAUUUAUGAAAAUGAUAUGUGCUGCUAAUAAGAAAAACGAAAAAUAGAAUACUUUAGUUGGAAAAAUUUCAAAGUAAAAUGCAUAGAUGAGGAAAUAAAAGUUUGAUGUCUCAAAGUUGCAACAAAAAAAAGAAGUGAAAGCACAAUGCUAAAAAUGAGAUGAUUUUUGAAAAUGCAAUGUGCUACUAUUAAGAAUACAAAAGGUAGAAUGUUAAUCAUUAGAAGAUUUUUAAAAAUAAAAAGUUUCAAUGUUGUAAAGUAAGUGUACAAAGUUAAAAAAUGGGAUGGUUUUUUUAAAAUGAUGUAUGCUGAAAAUGCGAUGAUUUUAAAAAAAAUGUAAAAAGCUAAUAUAAGGGCGUAUUUUUAAAAUAAAAGGUACAACUAAUAAGAAAAGUAAAAGUAGGAUGUUAUAAUUGGAAGAAUUUUCAAAGUAAAAUGCAUAGAUGAGGUAAAAAAAAAAAGCUUUAAUGCUUCAAUAUUGUAACAGAAAGAAAAGUAAAGGUAUAAUGCUAAAAAUAUGAUGAAUUUUUAAAAAAAAAAUGUGCUACUAACAAGAAAACAUAAAGUGCAAUGUUCUAAUUUGAUGAUUUUUCAUAGUAAAAUGCAUACAUAUGAAAAAAAGAGUUUGCCGCUUUAUGUUGUAACAAAGAAAAGUAAAAGUACAGUGCUAAAAAUGGUAUGAUUUUUGAAAAUGCAAUGUGCUACUUUUAAGAACACGGGAAGUAGAUAGCUAAAAUUAGAAGAUUUUUCAAAGCAAUGUAUAGAAGUUUAAUGUUCCAAUUUUGUAAAGUAAGAGUAGAACACUAAAAAUAAUAUGAUUUUCGAAAAUGAUAUAUGAAAUGUUAAAAACUAGGAUGGUUUUUAAAAAUAAUGUAUGCUAAAAAUGUGAUAAUAUUUAAAAAAUAUAUGCAAAAAGCUACUAAUAGGAUAAAUUUUAAAAAUGAAGUGUGCUACUAAUAAGAAAACUAAAAGUAGAGUGCUAUAAUUAAAAGAUCUUUCAAAGAAAAAUGCAUAGAUGAGAAAAAAACUAAUGUUUCAAUGUUGUAAAUUAAGAGUACAACGCUUAGAAUAAGAUGGUUUUUAAACAUAAUAUGUGAAAUGCUAAAGAUGGGAUGGUUUUUUAAAAUGAUGUAUGCUAAAAAUGUGAUGACUUCUAAAAAAACAUAAAGGACAAUGUUCUUAUUGGAUAUUUUUCAAAGUAUAAUGCACUCAUGAGAAAAAAAAGUUUGAUGUUUCAACGUUAUAACAAAAUGAUUUGUGAAAAUACAAAACUAAUAAAAAAACAUAAAGUACAAUGUAAUAAAUGGAAGAUUUUUUAAAGUAAAGUGCAUAGAUGAGAAAAAAGAGUUUGAUGUUAUAAUGUUUUUAUAAAACGAAACAUAAAAGUACAACAAUUAAAAUCGGAUAAGGAAAAAAAAAUUGAUGUUUCAAUGUUAUAACAAAAAGAAAAGUGAAAGUACAAUGCCAAAAAUAGGAUGUAUUUUGAAUAUGCAAUGUGCUACUAAAGAGAAAAUAUAAAGUAGAAUACUAUAAUUGGAAUAUUUUUCGAAAUAAAAUACAUUGAUGAAAAAAAAGAGUUUAAUGUUUCAAUAACAUAAAGAAAAGUAAUAAUAGAACGGUAAAAAUAGGAUGAUUUUAGAAAAUAGCAUGUGAAAUGAUAAAAAUAGGAUGGAUUUUUCAAAUGAUAUGUGCUAAUAAAAAACCUGAAAUUAGAAUGCUAUAAUGGUUAGAUAUUUUAAAGUAUAAUGCAAUGAUGAUGAAAAGAAAAGUUUUAUGUUUCAAUGUUAAAACAAAAAGAAAAGUAUUCGUAAUGCUAAAAAUAAGAUGAUUAAAAAAAUUAAAUGCUAAAAAGUGGAUGUAUUUUUAAUAUGAAAUGUGUUACUAAUAAGAAAAAUAAAAAUAAAAUGCUAGAACUUGAAGAUCUUUCAAAGUAAAAUGCAUAGAUGAGAAAAAAAAAGAGUUAAUGUUUCAAUGUUGUAACAGAAAGAAAAGUGACAAUACAAUGCUAAAAAUGAGUUGAUUUUUUAAAAUGAAAUGUGCUACUAUUAAGAAUACAAGAAGUAAAGUAAAAUGCACCGAGAAAAUUAGAUGAUUUGAAAAUGCAUUGUGCUACUAUUAAGAAAACUGAGAGUAGAAUUCUAUAUUUAGAAAAAAUUUCAAAGUAAAAUGCUUAGAUGAGGUAAAAUACAGUUUGAUGCUUCAAUGUUAUAUAAACGAAAAGUGUAAGUAUAUUGCUAAAAAUGGGACACUUUUAUAAUUCUAUGUGAAAUGAUAAAAAUGGGUUAAUUUUUAAAAAUGCAAUGUGCUACUAAUAAAAAGACUGAAAGUAGAAUGUCUUAAUUGGAAGAUUUUUCAUGUAAAAUGCAUAAAUAAGAAGAACAUGUUUGAUGUUUCAAGGUUGUAAAAGAAAGAAUAACUAAAGUACAAUGCUAAACAUGGGAGGAUUUUAAAAAAAAAAUGUGUAAUUCUAUAAAAGGAAUAAUUUUUUAAAAUGCAUUGUGCAAGGCAACUGAAAGUAAAAUGCUGAAAUGUUGACGAUCUUUUAAUGUAUUGUGCAAUGAUGAGGGAAAAAAGUUUGAUAAUUCAAUAUUAUUACAAAAAGAAAGUGAAAUUAAAAUGUUAAAAAUAAGUUUUGUUUCUAAAUUGAAAUGAUAAGUAGAUUGCUAUACUUGGUAAAAAGAUUCAGAAUAAAUUGUAUAAAUGACGAAAAAAAUGUUUGGAAACUUAAAUGAAAAGUGAGUACAAUGCUAAAAAUGGGGAGAUAUUUUAAAAUGCAAUGUCCUACUAUUAAGAAUACAAAAAGUAGAAUUCUAUGUUGAACACUAAAAGUAGAAUCCUAUAAAUGGAAGAUUUUUCAAAGUAAAAUGAUUAAUAUAGAAAAUAUAAGUUUGAUGGUCCAAUAUUGUAACAAAAAUGAAAUGACUUUCGAAUUAUAUGUGAAAUGCUAAAUAUGAAAUGGUUUUUGAAGAUAAAAUAGGCUUUCUAAUAAGAACAUUGAAAUUAGAAUGCUAUGAUUAGAAGAUUUUUUUCAAGUAUAAAACAAUGAUGAUGAAAAGAAAAGUUUGAUGUUUCAAUGUUAUAACAAAUAGAAAAGUGAAAAUAUAAUGCUAAAAAUGGGAUGAAUUUUUAAAAAGAUACGUGAAAUGCUAGAAAUAUGAUGUAAUUUGAAAUGAAAGAAGCUACUAAUAAUAAAAUUAAAAGUAUAAUGUCAUAUAUGGAAGAUUUUUCUAAGUAAAAUGCAUAUAUGAGGUAAAAAAAAGUUUAAUGCUUCAAUGUUGUAACAGAAAGAAAAGUAAAAGUAUAAUGUUGAAAAUAUGAUGUUUUUUGAAAACGCAAUAUGCUACUAAAUAGAAAACAUAAACUAAAAUGUUUUAAUUGGAAGAUUUUUCAAAAUAAAAUGAAUAUAUUAGUAAAAAAGAGUUUGAUGUUUCAAUGUUUUAACAUUAAAAUAAUUCACAAUAUAAUGCUCGAAAUGGAAAACUGAAAGUAGAAUCCUAAAAACGGAAGAUUUUCCAAAGUAAAAUGCAUCGAUGAGAAAAAAAAAGUUUGAUGUUCCAAUGUUGUAACAGAAAGAAUACUUAUAGUACAAUGCAAAAAAUGGGAUAAUUUUUUAAAUCAAUAUAUGAAAAUGCGAAAAAAAAAGAUUAGAUUUUUUAAAUUAUAUAUGCAAUGCUAAAAAUGGGAAGAUUUAUGAAAAUGUAAUGUGCUACUAGUAAAAUGCUAUAACUAGAAGAUUUUUCAAAGUGAAUUACAUAAAUUAGAAAAAAAAAAAAAAAAAANNNNNNNNNNNNNNNNNNNNNNNNNNAAAAAAAAAAAAAAAAAAAAAAAAAAAAAAAAAAAAACAAGUUUCAUGUUCCAAUGUUGUAACAACAGAGAAAAGUGAAAGGAAAAUGCUAAAAUAGGAAUGAAUUUUAAAUUUAAUGUGAAAUGCUAAAAAUGGAAUGGUUUUUGAAAAUGAUAUAUGCUUGUAAUAAGAAACUUGAAAGUUAUGUGCUAAAAAUGGGUUAAUUUUUUAUAUUUAUAAGUUCAAAAAACUGAAAGUAGAUUGCUGAAAAUGGGUUAAUUUUUAAAAAAUCAAUGUGCUAAUAAAAAAAACUAAGAGUAGAAUGGCUUAAUUGGAAUAUUUUUUAUAAAACAAUUUGCAUAAAUAACAAAAACUGAAAGUUUUUUGCUAUAAUUAAAAGAUCUUUCAAAGAAAAAUGCAUAGAUGAGAAAAAAAACUAAUGUUUCAAUGUUGUAAAUUAAAAGUACAACGCUUAAAAUAAGAUGAUUUUUAAACAUAAUAUGUGAAAUGCUAAAGAUGGGAUGAUUUUUUAAAAUAAUGUAUUCUAUAAACGUGAAAACUUCUAAAAAAAACAUAAAGGACAAUUUUCUAAUUGGAUAUUUUUCAAAGUAUAAUGCACUCAUGAGAAAAAAAGUUUGAUGUUUCAAAGUUAUAACAAAAUGAUUUGUGAAAGUACAAAACUAAUAAAAAGAUGGAUUUUUCAAAUGAUUUGUGCUAAUAAAAACCUGAAAUCAGAAUGCUAUAAUGGUUAGAUAUUUCAAAGUAUAAUGCAAUGAUGAUGAAAAGAAAAGUUUGAUGUUUCAAUGUUAAAACAAAAAGAAAAGUAUUUGUAAUGCGAAAAAAAAAGAUGAUUUUAAAAAAAAAAUGCUAAAAAGUGGAUGUAUUUUUAAUAUGAAAUGUGUUACUAAUAAGAAAAAUAAAAAUAAAAUGCUAGAACUUGAAGAUCUUUCAAAGUAAAAUGCAUAGAUGAGAAAAAAGAGUUAAUGUUUCAAUGUUGUAAAGAGAUGUGACAAUACAAUGCUAAAAAUGAGAUGAUUUUUUAAAAUGAAAUGUGCUACUAUUAAGAAUACAAGAAGUAAAGUAAAAUGCAAAGAUGAGAAAAAAAAAAGGUUUAAUGUUUCAAUGUGGUAAAGUAAAAAGUAAAAUACAAAAAAUAAGAUGAUUUGAAAAUGCACUGUGCUACUAUUAAGAAAACUAAAAGUAGAAUUCUAAAAUUAGAAAAAAUUUCAAAGUAAAAUGCUUAGAUGAGGUAAAAUACAGUUUGAUGCUUCAAUGUUAUAUAAAUGAAAAGUGUAAGUAUAUUGCUAAAAAUGGGACACUUUUUAUAUUUCUAUGUGAAAUGCUAAAAAUGGGUUAAUUUUUAAAAAUGCAAUGUGCUACUAAUAAAAACACUGAAAGUAGAAUGUCUUAAUUGGAAGAUUUUUUAAGUACAAUGCAUAAAUAAGAAAAAAAUGUUUGAUGUUUCAAGGUUGUAACAGAAAGAAUAACUAAAGUACAAUGCUAAACAUGGGAGGAUUUUUAAAAAUAAUGUGUAAUUCUAUAAAAGAAAUAAUAUUUUAAAAUGCAAUGUGUAGUAAUAAGGCAACUGAAAGUAAAAUGAUAUAAUGUUGACGUUCUUUUAAAGUAUAAUGCAAUGAUGAGGAAAAAGAGUUCGAAAAUUCAAUGUUAUAACAAAAAGAAAGUGAAAUUAAAAUGUUAAAAAUAAGUUAUAUUUCUAUAAAUUGCAAUGUGCUACAUAAAAGAAAACUACAAGUAGAUUGCUAUAAGUGGUAUAAAAUUCAAAGUAAAUUGUAUAAAUGACGAAAAAAAAACGUUUGGUAACUUUAAUGAAAAGUGAGUACAAUGCUAAAAAUGAGGAGAUUUUUUAAAAUGCAAUGCCCUACUAUUAAGCAUACAAAAAGUAGAAUUCUAUGUUGAACACUGAAAGUAGCUAAAAAUAAAAUGGUUUUUGAAAAUAAAAUUUGCUUCUAAUAAGAACAUUGAAAUUAGAAUGCUAUGAUUGGAAGAUUUUUUGAAGUAUAAAACAAUGAUGAUGAAAAGAAAAGUUCGAUGUUUCAAUGUUAUAACAAAGAGAAAAGUGAAAGUAUAGUGCUAAAAAUGGGAUGAAUUUAAAAAAAAAAAAAUAUGUGAAAUACUAGAAAUAAGAUGUAUUUUGAAAUGAAAGAGAUUUCAUUUUAUUAAUAAAAUUAAAAGUAGAAUGCUAUAUAUGGAAGAUUUUUCAAAGUAAAAUGCAUAGAUGAGGUAAAAAAAAGUUUAAUGCUUCAAUGUUGUAACAGAAAGAAAAGUAAAAAUAUAAUGUUGAAAAUAGGAUGUUUUUUGAAAAUGCAAUGUGCUACUAAAUAGAAAACCUAAAGUAGAAUGUUUUAAUUGGAAGAUUUUUCAAAAUAAAAAGAAUAUGAGUAAAAAAGAGUUUAAUGUUUCAAUGUUUUAAAAUAAAAAUAAUUCACAGUAUAAUGCUACAAAUGGGGUAAUUUAAUAAAAUGAAAUCUGCUACAAUGUGUAAAACUGGAAAUAAUAUCCUAAAAAUGGAAGAUUUUCCAAGGUAAUAUGCAUAGAUGAGAAAAAAAAAAGUUUCAUGUUCCAUUGUUGUAACAGAAAGAAAACUUACAAUAAAAUUCAAAAAUAUAUCUAAUGCUAAAAAUAGAAUAUAUAUUUUUAAAAUCAUAAUGCUAAAAAUAGAAUAUAUUUUUAAAAUGAUAAUGAUAAAAAUGGGAAGAUUUAGAAUGCUAUGAUUGGAAGAUUUUUUGAAGUAUAAUAAUGAAAAGAAAAGUUUAAGGAUUUAAUGUUAUAACAAAAAGACAAGUAAAAGUAUAAUGCUAAAAAUGGGAUGAUUUUUUAUAAUUAUAAGUCAAUUGCUAAAAAUAUGCUACUAAUAAAAAAACAGAGAGUAGAAUGCUUUAAUUGGAAUAUUUUUUAAAACAAAUUGCAUAAAUAAGAAUACCGAAAGUAGAUUGCUACAAUUGAAAGAUUUUUCAAAGUAAAAUGCUUUCAUAAAUCUUUUUUGGAAAAUAUGCUUUAAAAGAAUUUAGAACUAGAAGUACAAUGCAAAAUGCCAUUGAUAAGGAAAAAAAAAGGUUUUAAUUGGUAGAUUUUUCAAUGUAAAAUGCCAUUGAUAAGGAAAAAAUGUUUAAUAUCUAAAUGUUGUAACUAUUCAAAUACAGGAAAGCUUUUGUUCUUUGUUGUUGUUUUAAAUAUCAUUUUGUUUAGUUACUUCAUAGCAGAACUUAAAGUAUUUUGCUAAUUCUUGCAUUUAGCCCUUUUGGAACAUACAACAAAAAUAUACAGACGUUUUUUGGAACAUACCUGGAGUAAGAAAUAAAAGUAUUUUGCUAUUUCUCCAUACACUUGAAGUAUAACUAGAUUCAGUAUCCCCACUGUAAAUGACAAGAAAA